GCCACCAUAGCUCAGCUGGUAGAGCAGCUCAUUCGUAAUGAGCAGGUCCGCGGUUCGAGUCCGCGUGGUGGCUCCA
rnacentral:tRNA from 1 species